CUGGCUCAGAUUGAACGCUGGCGGAAUGCUUUAACAUGCAAGUCGAACGGCAGCACGGACUUCGGUCUGGUGGCGAGUGGCGAACGGGUGAGUAACAUAUCGGAACGUAUCCAAUAAUGGGGGAUAACUAAUCGAAAGGUUGGCUAAUACCGCAUACGCCCUGAGGGGGAAAGCUAGGGAUCUUCGGACCUGGCGUUAAUGGAGCGGCCGAUAUCUGAUUAGCUAGUUGGUGAGGUAAAGGCUCACCAAGGCGACGAUCAGUAGCUGGUCUGAGAGGACGACCAGCCACACUGGAACUGAGACACGGUCCAGACUCCUACGGGAGGCAGCAGUGGGGAAUUUUGGACAAUGGGCGCAAGCCUGAUCCAGCCAUUCCGCGUGAGUGAAGAAGGCCUUCGGGUUGUAAAGCUCUUUCGCAAGGGAAGAAAACUUAUCCUCUAACAUAGGAUGAGGUUGACGGUACCUUGAUAAGAAGCACCGGCUAACUACGUGCCAGCAGCCGCGGUAAUACGUAGGGUGCGAGCGUUAAUCGGAAUUACUGGGCGUAAAGCGUGCGCAGGCUGUUUUGUAAGUCAGAUGUGAAAUCCCUGGGCUCAACCUAGGAACUGCGUUUGAAACUACAAGACUAGAAUAUGUCAGA
rnacentral:rRNA from 1 species